rnacentral:rRNA from 1 species
UACGUAGGGCGCAAGCGUUGUCCGGAAUUAUUGGGCGUAAAGAGCUCGUAGGCGGCCUGUUAAGUCGGACGUGAAAUCCCUCGGCUCAACCGGGGAACUGCGUCCGAUACUGGCGGGCUUGAAUUCGGGAGAGGGAUGUGGAAUUCCAGGUGUAGCGGUGAAAUGCGUAGAUAUCUGGAGGAACACCGGUGGCGAAGGCGGCAUCCUGGACCGACAUUGACGCUGAGGCGCGAAAGCCAGGGGAGCAAACGGG